rnacentral:rRNA from 1 species
GCUUGUCUCAAAGAUUAAGCCAUGCAUGUCUAAGUAUAAGCAAUUUAUACAGUGAAACUGCGAAUGGCUCAUUAAAUCAGUUAUCGUUUAUUUGAUAGUUCCUUUACUACAUGGUAUAACUGUGGUAAUUCUAGAGCUAAUACAUGCUUAAAAUCUCGACCUUUUGGAAGAGAUGUAUUUAUUAGAUAAAAAAUCAACGUCUUCGGACUCCUUGAUGAUUCAUAAUAACUUUUCGAAUCGCAUGGCCUUGUGCUGGCGAUGGUUCAUUCAAAUUUCUGCCCUAUCAACUUUCGAUGGUAGGAUAGUGGCCUACCAUGGUUUCAACGGGUAACGGGGAAUAAGGGUUCGAUUCCGGAGAGGGAGCCUGAGAAACGGCUACCACAUCCAAGGAAGGCAGCAGG